CCCCCCACCCACCCCCACCCCCCACUUCGUCCGUCCUGCCUCCGUAUUCCAGUCCUCCUUUUCCUCAUCCUUCCGUUCUUCAUUUUGUACAUCUGCCCUUCUUCCUUUCUUUUUAUCCAUCGUUCCUUCUCUCUUCCCGUCAGUUCUUCCUACCUUCUUCCAUCUCUCUAUCUCUACUUCUUUCCAUCCUCUUCCAUCCUUCUGUUUCGAUCUGUCACACCCACUUUCUUUUUAAACCCGUGUCCUUGCUCCGACGUGUGUACGAUCUCGCCGGAACCCGACUCCGGUCCACUUUUCCUCGAGUAUGAAAACGCGCGUAAAUCUAUCCGACGUGCGCGAGUGUUAGGAACAGCGUCGCGGCGACGUAACGAAUCUGUUUUUCCCACCAAGACACGGCGUCAGGUCAAGAUCCUCGUUGGGAAGAGUACGCCGCUGAGAGUUGGGCGAUCGCUGUCGAUGCAGAUGAAUAAAACAAGCACUCACACACACACACACACACACACACACACACACACACACACAGGACGCCUUCACCGUCGUUAAAUAUUCAACACGACGUCUUUGUAGGCUGUUGUUAAUUAGUCUCUGUAACAACACAAAGGUCUCGCGCUGGAUUACCUACGACAACCUUCAUUUGCAUGCAUAUUAAACGCCGCUAUCAACUGAUAGCUCGCUGAUCAAAUCAGACGCGCUGUUUUGUUUUCGUCUCCUCCUGUUCGUCUCCUCUCUCGCGCUCUCUUUCAUCGUAGGCGGACGGCAAUCGAGCACGCCGGGCGCUUAUUUAGACGUCACGUAUCCCGUGUUUAGUCUCGCGGCCCUUAAAGGCUAAAUUAGCACGGCGAAACGUGGCGUCUUCGUCCAGCCAAUUAUCCUCCGGGAUCGAUCAAUCAGCUUCGCUGUAACCAAACCGAGUCGUUAAAUGCACUUACAAUCAAACGAAAUGAAAUGAAACGCAUCACAUAUUUACUCUUUCUUCCUGCAGUCUGUACUUUUCCCAUCUUCCUGUUUUCACUUACGUUAUAGCGGCUGUGAACAGUCCCUCAACAGCCUCUCUGUGGUCAGUAGAAACAGUGUUACUUAAAAUCGAUGAAGUGCAAUGCGCUCUGUCCUGAAGACUUUCCCAUGAAGGAAGGCUGUUACAAAGCACUGAAACUGGAGACUCCUUCCACGAAACGUCUCCUUAGAGAAAACGCCGCCAUAUCAGCAGUUAGUUGUUCUUUGUUAAAUAAACAACACGUGUGUGAGCGGCGCUGGAGGUCUUCCAUCGAUGGGCAUGAGCGGGGAAAAAAGGGGGGGGUGCCAAUACUUUUGUGAAGUGCGGCACAUGGAAUAAAGUGGGCGUGUAAAAAGGUGGAGCCGAUAAAGGGCUAUUUCAUGUAGGAUGGAAGGAAAGACGGAGGGAAUGGGGGAAGGGAAGGAAAGUGAGAGGAAAAAGGAAGGAAAGUUGGUCGGAGAAAAAGGAAGGAAAGAAAGAUGGAGGGGAAAAAAGGAAGGUAGGAAAGAUAGAGGGAGGGAAGGAAGGAAGGAAAGAUAGUGAGAAAAAAGGAAGGAAAGUUGGUCGGAGAAAAAGGAAGGAAAGAAAGAUAGAGGGAAAAGGGAGGAAGGAAAGAGUGAGAAAAAAGGAAGGAAAGUCGGAAGGAAGGAAAGAAAUAUAGAGGGAAGGAAGGAUAGAGAGAAGGAAGGAAGGAAAGAUAGAGGGAAGGAAGGAAGGGAAGAUAGAAAGAAUGAUAGCAGGAAGGAAAGAUAGAGGGAAGGAAGGAAGGAACGCUAGAUAGAGGGAAGGAAGGAAAGACAGUGAGAAAAAGGAAGGAAAGUAUAAUAGCAGGAAGGAAGGAAAGAUAGUGAGAAAAAAGAAAGGAAGGAUAGAUAGAUAGAGGGAAGGGAUGAAAGAUAGCGAGAAAAAGGGAAGGAAAGUUGGAAGGAAAAAAGGAAGGAACAUUUGGAAGCAAAGAUAGAGAGAAGGAAGGAUAGAAGGAAUGAAAGAAUGAUAGCAGGAAGGAAGGAGAGCGAGGGAAAGAAGGAACGAUUGUGCGAAGAAAGGAAGGAAAGUUGGACGGAAAGAAUUGUGGCAGGAAGGACGGGAAGAUGGAGAAACGAUGGAAGGAAGGAAGAAGGGAGGGAAGGUCAGGAAGUAGAACAGGAAGAAGGGUGGGGAAGCAGAAGUCGGAACGCAAGGUUGAAAGAAACAGAGGAUGGGAAGAACAGACGGUUUGGAGGGAAAGUAAGUAAAGAAGGAUGGGUAAUUUGAGGGAAUGAUAGACAGAACCAGAAGGAUGAAGAAAGGAAAAGACAGGAAGAAGAACCGUGACUUCCCACAAAUUAGAAUGCAGGACAAUCAGAAAAGGAAGAAACGCGGAAGUGUGUAUAGAUAGAUAGAUAGAUGGAUGGAUGGAUGCAUGGAUGGAUAGAUAGAUAGAUAGAUAGAAAGGUAGGAGGUGAAGGAGUUAAUAAGUAUUAGACAGAAAGGAAGAAUGACAGAUAGAAACAGAAGGAGAAAGGAAAGACAGGAAAUGAAUCAGGACGAAAGGUGGAAAGGAAGAAGAAUAAAAGGAAGGAUGAGGGCAGUGGAAAGGUAGAGUCACAGACUGGAGUGAAGAGAGAGAAGAAAAGAAGGACAGGUAGAACAGGAUGGAAGGUGUCGGAAAGGAGGUUGGAAGAACGAAAAAAAAACAAAAAGCGUAGAUGGAAUAAGAAAGAAAGAAAGAAAAAAAGAGAAAGCACAUGAAGUACAGAAAUGGGUCAGAAACGAAGUAAACAAGUAUGAGGAAUUAGACAGAUAGAAACAGAAAGAAAAAGGAAAGACAGGAAGAAGGGUGGAAAGGAAGAAGGAAGAAGAAACGUAGGAGAAAAAAAAAAAAAAGAAAGAAUCCGGACAGUGGAAAGGUAGAGUUACAGGUAAAAUGCAAAGAGAAGAAAAGACUGACAAGUGGGACAGGAAGGAAGAAGUAGGAAAGGACUUUGGAAGAAAGAAAAAGACAGGAAGUGUGGAUAGAUGAAAGAAAGGCAGGACGAAAGAAAGAAAGAAAAGAAAGAAAGCACAGGAAGUACAUAAAGCAGGAAAAGUAAACACGUAAUUAGACAGAAAGGAGAGACAGGAAAUAGACCAGGAAGGAGGGUGGGAAGGAAGAAGAAUAAAAGAAUGAAAGGACAGGAAGUGUGGAGAGUAGGAAGUGAAGAAUUAAGGUCGGAAAAACAUGAGGCAAGGAAUGAAGAAUAAAGAAAGGACAAAGCUGGAAGCUUUAUUUUAGAUUAAUGUCUGUUCUCUAAACUGUUGUUAUUUGUUUUAUAGUACAGUUCUGUGAGUUAAAGAUUAUUUCACAAUCCCUCCUCUGUUUUCUUUCGUUCUUUUUCUCUUUGUUUUGCUGUUUGAAGCGCUCCAUGUCCUCAGCUCUCUGUGUGAAGAAAAUAAAGGAAUUAAAGAAUGAAAUGCAGUUAUUAUAUUCUGCUGAGUUUUGCUCCAGCUGUGGAGCGAGCAGGAGGAAUGUGAUGACUCGCAUGUCUGCUGCACUGCAUCCCAGCAUGUGUGUGUGUGUGUGUGUGUUGUGUGUGUGUGUAUGAGAUGAGAGGAGGUUUGAUUGGAUUUGCAGGCGAUGUGAUGGCAGCGGGCCGUUACCCGCAGGCGCUAACGCAUGCAGUGGGCCGUGAUUUCGGCUGAUGUGUGGGUUGGUGUGCUGAGGGAAAGACGGCGGAAUGGAGGGAUAAUAGUAUGGAGGAGGAUAGAGCGGUACAGCUGCCCCAUUGCCCCAUGGGAGAUUUCAGCCACCCAGGUGGGUUCGAGUGUCUAUGGCUGUGCUACGAGUUGUAAUCGGGUUUGAUGAACAGGACGGAACAGGGACGUCAUCAGGAACGAAGGAAGCGUGGGUGAAAAAAAGGAAGGAAAAAAAAUACGGAAGGAAGGAGGGACAGAAAUGAAGACGGAUGGACAGAAGAAUGGAUUGACGUGUGGGACGGCGGAAAGAGAGAUCAAAAGAUGCGGAGAGACAGGGGAGCGUGGGAAAAAUUCUAGCCGCCCAGAUGGUCUCCGUGUCCUCGUUCCAGCUGCCGUUCGCUUUAAUAAGUACGAGUGGAUGGAGACAUCAUCUGUCCAUCAGUACCACAGAAAGAGAAGGAAAGAGAGCAAGAGAUAGAGAGAGAGGUUGAAAGUAAAAGCAGAUUAAACCAGAGAAGAUCGUGAGAUUUAAGAGCGUUUAGACGAAAAGUGAUGAGCAAGGCUGGUUUAAAUAAAGUUCGGCCCUUUUGUCACUGAGCUAAUGAAAUCCUGAGGUUUCAUGAUCACACGGGUAAUGGCUUCUUUCCGCCUCAGCGUUGUAAAUCUAAUUGGAUUCAGUGGCAGAUUCACAACAGGCUUCACAACGUAAACAGCGUUUUUGCGGAAAACGUUCUUUCUGGAGCUACAAGGUCGAUAUAGCGAACAAAUACGGCUGCUGUCAACCUUAGUACUCUUUUUUUUAAACACGGAAGAUAUGGAUAAAAGUGUGCGAUGUAGACAGCGUAACCAUAACAACACCGUCUAAGGUAGGGCUAUAGACAAGAACGCCACUGUCCAAAUGUCCAAAACCAGGACUAGCUGAGAUCGAGUCAAGACUGGGGUGCUUUUCAGACUCGUCGUUGUCCGAAUCUGAGUGGGAUUGUUCCCGGCAUUCGCCGCUGCGUUCGACCGGUUUGAGACUCACUCGAUUCUAUCGAAACCCAGUCCAUUUGCGUUCAUCUUACAUCAUCACAAAUUCGCAUGGAGAACACAACGCGACGAAUAUGUCUGGUCCUAUUAUGUACAGCAGAAGUUAUGUGCAGCAGUGUACCUCUUCCGUGUCCCGCAACGUUCCCCUGCCACUAACGUGUGUCGUGGAAACUAACGACGUCGUC
ensembl:lncRNA